rnacentral:rRNA from 1 species
UGCAGUCGAACGCUCUCUUCGGAGAGAGUGGCGAAAGGGCGAGUAACGCGAUCGUACGUACCCCGAGGUGGGGGAUAGCGUCGGGAAACUGACGGUAAUACCCCAUGUGCUCUUCGGAGGAAAGUUUCGGCGCCUUGGGAGCGGCGAUCGUCCUAUCAGGUUGUUGGUGAGGUAACGGCUCACCAAGCCGAAGACGGGUAGCGGGUGUGAGAGCAUGACCCGCCGCAUCGGGACUGAGACACUGCCCGGACUCCUACGGGAGGCUGCAGCGACGAAUCUUCCGCAAUGGGCGAAAGCCUGACGGAGCAAUGCCGCGUGUGGGAUGAAGCAGCUUCGCUGUGUAAACCACUGUCAGGUCCCAGGAACACUGACCGGGACCAGAGGAAGGGCCGGCUAAACUCGUGCCAGCAGCCGCGGUAAUACGAGUGGCCCGAGCGUUAAUCGGAAUCACUGGGCUUAAAGGGUGCGCAGGCGGACCUUCAGGCGUCUUGUGAAAUCCCACGGCUCAACCGUGGAAUUGCAGGGCGAACCGGAGGUCUUGAGGCAGGUAGGGGCCGACGGAACUAUCGGUGGAACGGUGAAAUGUGCAGAUAUCGAUAGGAACGCCAAUGGCGAAGGCAGUCGGCUGGGCCUGUCCUGACGCUCAGGCACGAAAGCGUGGGGAGCAAACAGGAUUAGAUACCCUGGUAGUCCACGCCGUAAACGAUGUGCACUAGAUCGGGGAGGCUCUCACGCCCUCUCGGUCGAAGGAAAACCAUUAAGUGCACCGCCUGGGGAGUACGGUCGCAAGGCUAAAACUCAAAGGAAUUGACGGGGGCUCACACAAGCGGUGGAGCAUGUUGCUUAAUUCGAGGCAACGCGAAGAACCUUACCUGGGUUUGACAUGCACGGAUUAACUCUAUGAAAGUA